rnacentral:rRNA from 1 species
GACGAACGCUGGCGGCGUGCUUAACACAUGCAAGUCGAACGGAAAGGCCCUGCUUUUGUGGGGUGCGCGAGUGGCGAACGGGUGAGUAACACGUGAGUAACCUGCCCUUGACUUUGGGAUAACUUCAGGAAACUGGGGCUAAUACCGGAUAGGAGCUCCUGCUGCAGGGUGGGGGUUGGAAAGUUUCGGCGGUUGGGGAUGGACUCGCGGCUUAUCAGCUUGUUGGUGGGGUAGUGGCUUACCAAGGCUUUGACGGGUAGCCGGCCUGAGAGGGUGACCGGCCCCAUUGGGCCUGGGCUACGGCCCAGCCUCCUCCGGGAGGCAGCGGUGGGGAAUAUUGCACAAUGGGCGGAAGCCUGAUGCAGCAACGCCGCGUGCGGGAUGACGGCCUUCGGGUUGUAAACCGCUUUCGCCUGUGACGAAGCGUGAGUGACGGUAAUGGGUAAAGAAGCACCGGCUAACUACGUG